UGUAGCUCAGUGGCACAGCGCCUGCCUGGGAAGUGGAAGGCCCUGAGUUCAAUUCCCAGCA
rnacentral:tRNA from 1 species